rnacentral:rRNA from 1 species
AGAAUCAACGCUGGCGGCGUGCCUAACACAUGCAAGUCGCACGAGAAAGGGGAGCAAUCCCUGAGUAAAGUGGCGCACGGGUGAGUAACACGUGAAUGAUCUACCUCCGAGUGGGGAAUAACUGAGAGAAAUCUUAGCUAAUACCGCAUAACACUUACGAGUCAAAGCAGCAAUGCGCUUGGAGAGGAGUUCGCGGCCGAUUAGCUAGUUGGCGGGGUAAUGGCCCACAAGGCGAUGAUCGGUA